UGGGGAAUAUUGGGCAAUGGGCGCAAGCCUGACCCAGCAACGCCGCGUGAAGGAAGAAGGCUUUCGGGUUGUAAACUUCUUUUCUUGGGGACGAAGAAAGUGACGGUACCCAAGGAAUAAGCCACGGCUAACUACGUGCCAGCAGCCGCGGUAAUACGUAGGUGGCAAGCGUUAUCCGGAUUUAUUGGGUGUAAAGGGCGUGUAGGCGGGAAUGCAAGUCAGAUGUGAAAACUAUGGGCUCAACCCAUAGCCUGCAUUUGAAACUGUAUUUCUUGAGUGCUGGAGAGGCGAUCGGAAUUCCGUGUGUAGCGGUGAAAUGCGUAGAUAUACGGAGGAACACCAGUGGCGAAGGCGGAUUGCUGGACAGUAACUGACGCUGAGGCGCGAAAGCGUGGGGAGCAAACAGGAUUAGAUACC
rnacentral:rRNA from 1 species